AACUUCUACAAGGACACGUGUCCUCAGGCUGAAGACAUCAUCCGUGAACAAGUCAAACUCCUCUACAAACGCCACAAGAACACUGCUUUCUCUUGGCUCCGUAACAUCUUCCACGACUGCGCCGUCGAGGUCCGAUCUCUCUCCCUCUCUCUCAAUGAUCUUUCAUGUGUUUUGCAUGGUGGGUUUUGUCUGAGAAUCAUGUUUUGUUGGAUGGUUUAAGUGGGAAAAGUACCGAUCUUUGUGUUAAAACUUAGCUAAAAGGUUUGAUAUUUCACUUGAAACAGAGCUAACGGUUUACUCUGUUUUUGCUUUGUUUUUUGGGGGUUGAAAACAGUCAUGUGAUGCGUCGCUUUUGCUGGAUUCGACAAGAAGAGAGCUAGGAGAGAAAGAACACGACAGGAGCUUCGGACUGAGAAACUUCAGGUAUAUUGAGGAGAUCAAGGAAGCUCUCGAGAGGGAGUGCCCUGGUGUUGUCUCAUGUUCCGACAUUCUCGUCUUGUCUGCAAGAGAAGGCAUCGAAGCAGUAAGUUUUAAAGGACAAGAAGUUUUCUGUUUUGUGACAAAACUGCGUGUUGUUUGUUUCCCUUUUUUUGACAAAACAGUGUGUGGGGUUUUUUUUGUAGGUGGGAGGACCGCAUAUUCCUUUGAAGACAGGAAGGAGAGAUGGACUGAAGAGCAGGACAGAUAUGCUCGAGUCAUAUCUUCCUGACCACAACGAGAGUAUCUCCGUCGUUCUUGACAAAUUCAAAUCCAUCGGAAUCGACACUCCCGGCCUCGUAGCUCUCUUAGGUACCGUUAUCUUUCUCCUCCUUUGAUUAUCUCUCACCAGUCACUAGUCUCCGGCAAAAACGUAACGCUCGAAAGUCUAUAACUAUUUGACCAUCCAAAAAGUGCUUUUUCUACCAUAUCCUAAUCAAGGGUAUUUUCGUCUGUUUGAUUUAUGCAUGUAAAAAUCUUAGGUAGAUUAAUGAAACCAUUUGAGGUAAUCUUGCCGGUUCACAUCGGAAUAUGCGAUCUGAGUUGGAAAGUUGAAUCUUGAAUGUAACUCUUAUCCGAUCUCUCGGUAGUCCUUGUUUAAUGGAUUAGCUAGCACAAGGUUAUUUUGGUCCAUUAACCCAUGUAUGAUUAAUUUUAGGCUAGCAAAGUUUAAGUUUCUUGUUAGAUUAUUUCAGUUUGGAUAGUGUUAGAUUUUGACUUUUUGUUAUGAUGACACGUGCAGGGUCACACAGCGUGGGAAGAACUCACUGUGUUAAGCUGGUCCAUCGUUUGUACCCUGAGGUGGACCCGUCCUUGAACCCGGACCACGUCCCUCACAUGCUACACAAGUGUCCUGACUCGAUCCCUGACCCAAAGGCUGUUCAGUACGUGCGUAAUGACCGUGGCACUCCCAUGGUGCUAGACAACAAUUACUACCGUAACAUCCUAGACAACAAGGGUUUGCUCCUUGUCGACCAUCAGCUCGCACACGACAAAAGGACCAGACCAAUUGUUAAGAAGAUGGCUAAGGACCAGGCCUACUUCUUCAAGGAGUUCACUAGAGCGAUCCAGAUCUUAUCCGAGAACAACCCUUUGACCGGCUCUAAGGGUGAGAUUAGGAAGCAAUGUAAUCUCGCAAACAAGAACCACUAAAGUUGGAAAAAAGUGAGAAAAGACAGAGGCUCUGGUGUGUUGGGGUUCUCUGCUUGGUACGUAUCGAAACCAAGAUGAAUAAAGGAAUCUUUUAAAGUUAAAAUCAAAGAAAGGGUGAUGAUGAAUGCAUCAUGGUGGUGACCACUCCCUUCUUUUGUGUGUUCUUGUU
rnacentral:lncRNA from 1 species